rnacentral:rRNA from 1 species
CAGCCGCCACGGUAAUACGAAGGGUGCAAGCGUUACUCGGAAUUACUGGGCGUAAAGCGUGCGUAGGUGAUGGUUUAAGUCCGUUGUGAAAGCCCUGGGCUCAACCUGGGAAUGGCAGUGGAUACUGGCAAGCUAGAGUGUGGUAGAGGAUAGUGGAAUUUCCGGUGUAGCAGUGAAAUGCGUAGAGAUCGGAAGGAACAUCUGUGGCGAAGGCGACUAUCUGGGCCAACACUGACACUGAGGCACGAAAGCGUGGGGAGCAAACAGGAUUAGAUACCCCCGUAGUCCCUGUCUCUUAUAC